CACGUAGUUAGCCGGUGCUUCUUAUCUAGGUACCGUCACACAAAGCUUCGUCCCUAGCGAAAGGAGUUUACAACCCGAAGGCCUUCAUCCCCCACGCGGCGUCGCUGCAUUAGGCUUGCGCCCAUUGUGCAAUAUUCCCCACUGCUGCCUCCCGUAGGAGUCUGGGCCGUAUCUCAGUCCCAAUGUGGCCGUACACCCUCUCAGGCCGGCUACCCGUCGCCGCCUUGGUAGGCCAUUACCCCACCAACAAGCUGAUAGGCCGCGAGCUCAUCCUACACCGAAAAAACUUUCCAACCACCACACUAAAGAUGGCUCCUAUCCGGUAUUAGACCCAGUUUCCCAAGCUUAUCCCGAAGUGCAGGGCAGAUCACCCACGUGUUACUCACCCGUUCGCCACUCGAGUACCCUGCAAGCAGGGCCUUCCGUCGACUUGCAUGUGUUAAGCACGCCGCCAGCGUUCGUCCUGAGCCACGGAGUCAAAACUCUA
rnacentral:rRNA from 1 species